GAAGUCCUCCUUUUCUAACCAUUGGGGUCAUCUCCUUGCUUUCAGAUGGUGGCUCUGGAGGACUACGCGGAUCCGUUUGAUACCAAAGAAGCGGCAGCCAGGGAGCCGGAAAGGGUGAAGAACGAGGGCUACAUGGAACCGUACGAAGCUCAGAAAUUGCUGGCAGAAGUUCAGAAGGGCAGUUCCGAGGACGGCUCCAUUGUCGCCAAACCCUUGCACUUGUACGACACUCCAUAUGAAGGCUGCGAGAGCGACACGGAAGCCAAGAGGGAGCACCUGCCGGACAUCCCCUUUCGCUACUCCUGGCUGCCUGAGGAUGACGAACGGCCCCCCGAGGAAUACGACCAGCCUUGGGAGUGGAAAAAGGACCGGAUCUCCAGAGUAUUCGCAGUCGAGAUCGAGGGGAUCAAGGAGCUUCCGUGGCCGCCCCCCGUUGGACAGCUCGAUAACAUGGCGAAUCACCUGGACGCAGAGGGACCGCCGAUCCUUCAGAGCGUUGGUGCCAGAUGCCUGCCUGAAGAGAGCCCACUGAGCCUCCAGAACGCCUGCUCCAGCUUUCCGGACUCCGUGGCUCAGUCCACUCCCUUGGACAUCAGCGGCAAGGGGGUGGUGAAGAGUGAAUCGCUGUCUGGCGCAGAGAAGGGGAACAGCUUGUGCUGGCUGAGCGUGGAACCCGGGUUGACUUUUGGCGAACGGGUCAACCCCACUUUGCCGCUGGAGAGCCAGGCCCAGAGGCUCCCGAAGCGGCCUUGCAGAGGCCUGACUGAACGCUUGCCUCCCCCCUCAACAGGUGGUAUCAUGGGACCCUGAGCCGGGUGGAUGCAGAGGGGCUGCUGCGGCUGUGCCGGGAAGCCAGCUACCUGGUGCGGGACAGCGAGAGCAUCCACAACGCCUUCUCCCUCUCCCUCAAGAGCAGCCAGGGCUUCCUGCACAUGAAACUCUUGCCAACAGAAGAUAACAAGUUCAUCCUGGGGCAGCAUAGCCCCCCCUUUGACAACGUCCCUGAGAUCAUCCACCACUACGCCAGCCACAAGCUGCCCAUCCAGGGAGCAGAGCACAUGACCUUGCUCUACCCGGUUGUCACUCGA